rnacentral:lncRNA from 1 species
CCCGAAAGCGUGCCAAUCCCGAUGUUGUGCGGAGCUGAGCAUCUUCUAUUCGCUGGGAUAAAGCUUUUCCUCUGCAGGGACCUUGUGCAGUAAACCCCCUACGGGCGGUCGUCCAUCGUCGUAAAGUAGUCCCCGUGAAGCUUUCGGGAAGAGGGGUAGUCUUGUGUGUAAAUGGAGGUAUAGAUGGAGGUACUAUACUGUAAUUCGUAUUUUCACAUGUCUAGAACUAUUGAUUCACGUGAUUUACU